ensembl:lncRNA
UGAUUGGGUAUUAGUGAUUGGGUAUUAGUGAUUGGGUAUUAGUGAUUGGGUAUUAGGGAUUGGGUAUUAGGGAUUGGGUAUUAGUGAUUGGGUAUUAGGGAUUGGGUAUUAGGGAUUAGGGAUUGGGUAUUAGGGAUUGGGUAUUAGGGAUUAGGGAUUGGGUAUUAGGGAUUGGGUAUUAGUGAUUAGGGAUUGGGUAUUAGGGAUUGGGUAUUAGGGAUUGGGUAUUAGGGAUUGGGUAUUAGGGAUUGGGUAUUAGGGAUUGGGUAUUAGGGAUUAGGGAUUGGGUAUUAGGGAUUGGGUAUUAGUGAUUGGGUAUUAGUGAUUGGGUAUUAGUGAUUGGGUAUUAGUGAUUGGGUAUUAGUGAUUGGGUAUUAGUGAUUGGGUAUUAGGGAUUGGGUAUUAGGGAUUGGGUAUUAGGGAUUAGGGAUUGGGUAUUAUGGAUUGGGUAUUAGGGAUUGGGUAUUAGGGAUUAGGGAUUGGGUAUUAGGGAUUGGGUAUUAGUGAUUGGGUAUUAGUGAUUGGGUAUUAGUGAUUGGGUAUUAGUGAUUGGGUAUUAGGGAUUGGGUAUUAGGGAUUAGUGAUUGGGUAUUAGUGAUUGGGUAUUAGGGAUUAGUGAUUGGGUAUUAGGGAUUGGGUAUUAGGGAUUAGGGAUUGGGUAUUAGGGAUUAGUGAUUGGGUAUUAGUGAUUGGGUAUUAGGGAUUGGGUAUUAGGGAUUAGGGAUUGGGUAUUAGUGAUUGGGUAUUAGGGAUUAGGGAUUGGGUAUUAGGGAUUAGUGAUUGGGUAUUAGGGAUUGGGUAUUAGGGAUUAGUGAUUGGGUAUUAGGGAUUGGGUAUUAGGGAUUAGGGCUUGGGUAUUAGGGAUUAGUGAUUGGGUAUUAGUGAUUGGGUAUUAGGGAUUGGGUAUUAUGGAUUGGGUAUUAGGGAUUGGGUAUUAGGGAUUAGGGAUUGGGUAUUAGUGAUUGGGGAUUAGUGAUUGGGUAUUAGUGAUUGGGUAUUAGGGAUUAGUGAUUG